UGCAUCUUUCUCUCAUUAUCUUUCACCUUUUCCUAUAGACUCUAUGAGGGACUAAUGGACUUGCCGGAUCCCUUACACAGGACACAAGAGGGCAAAUGAGUUUGAAACUCAUGCAGAUCUACCUCAUAGCAGGAACAACUAGGGACCACGCCAAAGAAGAAGAAUGUAACUAAAGUAGGCUGAGCCAAGAGGUGAGGCAGAGGAUUGAAGUGACUGAAUGACAGGAAGGGCAACUCUUGAAUUUCAAAAUCCAGAUGCUGAAGUCGACAUGCAUUUCACCUCAGCCAGAGUUCGAUCAAAAGCACUUCCUCAGCAGGUACUGGACACAGAGGACAGUUUAUGAAAAGUGAUUGCUUAGGGGA
rnacentral:lncRNA from 1 species